rnacentral:rRNA from 1 species
UACGUAGGGUGCAAGCGUUAAUCGGAAUUACUGGGCGUAAAGCGUGCGCAGGCGGCGAUGUAAGACAGUUGUGAAAUCCCCGGGCUCAACCUGGGAACUGCAUCUGUGACUGCAUUGCUGGAGUGCGGCAGAGGGGGAUGGAAUUCCGCGUGUAGCAGUGAAAUGCGUAGAUAUGCGGAGGAACACCGAUGGCGAAGGCAAUCCCCUGGGCCUGCACUGACGCUCAUGCACGAAAGCGUGGGGAGCAAACAGG